GACAGAGGGUGCGAACGUUGUUCGGAAUUACUGGGCGUAAAGCGCAUGUAGGCGGCAGCGCAAGUCGGGCGUGAAAUCCCACGGCUCAACCGUGGAAGUGCACUCGAAACUGCGCAGCUAGAGUCCUGGAGAGGAAGGUGGAAUGCUUGGUGUAGAGGUGAAAUUCGUAGAUAUUCGCAAGAACACCAGUGGCGAAGGCGGCUCACUGGCCCGAUACUGACGCUGAGGUGCGAAAGCGUGGGGAGCAAACAGG
rnacentral:rRNA from 1 species